rnacentral:rRNA from 1 species
AGUGAACGCUGGCGGCGUGCCUAAUACAUGCAAGUCGAACGGAGUGGCACACGGGUGAGUAAUAUAUAGCUAAUCUGCCCCUUGCUGGAGGACAACAGUUAGAAAUGACUGCUAAUACUCCAUAGCAAGGGAUGAGACUAUAUCGUAUCAGCUAGUCGGUGGGGUAACGGCCUACGGCGGCUAUGACGCGUAACUGGUCUGAGUGGAUGAGCAGUCACAGUCGAACUGACGCACGGUCCAAACUCCUGCGGCAGGCAGCAGGAGGGUAUAUUGCUCAAUGGGAGACUCCCUGACGCAGGAACGCCGCGUGGAGAAUGACACUUUGCGGUGCGUACACUCCUUUUGUUACGGAGGCGGUACCUAACGAAUAAGCACCGGCUAACUACGUGCCAGCAGCCGCGGUAAUAC